AGGCUUGUAGCUCACGUGGUUAGAGCGCACCCCUGAUAAAGGGUGAGGUCGGUGGUUCAAGUCCACUCAGCCUACCA
rnacentral:tRNA from 1 species